rnacentral:rRNA from 1 species
GCGGAAGGAUCAUUAAAGAGACGUUGCCCUUCGGGGUAUACCUCCCACCCUUUGUAUACCAUACCUUUGUUGCUUUGGCAGGCCCGUCUCGGACCGCCGGCUCCGGCCGGCCCGUGCCUGCCAGGGGACCUUAAACUCUGUUUGUCAAUGUCGUCUGAGUACUAUAUAAUAGUUAAAACUUUCAACAACGGAUCUCUUGGUUCUGGCAUCGAUGAAGAACGCAGCGAAAUGCGAUAAGUAAUGUGAAUUGCAGAAUUCAGUGAAUCAUCGAAUCUUUGAACGCACAUUGCGCCCUCUGGUAUUCCGGGGGGCAUGCCUGUUCGAGCGUCAUUACAACCCUCAAGCUCUGCUUGGUAUUGGGCCCCGCCGGUUCUGGCGGGCCUUAAAGUCAGUGGCGGUGCCGUCCGGCUCCGAGCGUAGUAAUUCUUCUCGCUCUGGAGGCCCGGCCGCGUGCUCGCCAUCAACCCCCAAUUUUUUCAGGUUGACCUCGGAUCAGGUAGGGAUACCCGCUGAACUUAA